rfam:Geobacter lovleyi SZ, complete genome.
CGCGGGGUGGAGCAGUCUGGUAGCUCGUCGGGCUCAUAACCCGAAGGUCACAGGUUCAAAUCCUGUCCCCGCAA